UUGAAAGGGAAACGAUUGAAGUCAGUCGUACCGACGAGAAAUCAGCUUAUCGUGUGUUAACUUGUGGGCGUGCGUGAGUUUCGGCCUCGCUGUUUGCAUGUUUGUGCGCUUUGGGUGUACUUUUUCGUAUGGUUGGCCAACAUCAGUUUCGAUCACUAUAAAAUGACUGGCGGAAUGUAGCUUCGAUUUCGGUUGAAGUGUUAUAGCCUCUGGUAGAUGUGGUAAUUGGGACUGAGGAUUGCAACGAAUAUCCUUUGGGCUAUCCGUCUGGCCUCUGAAAGUUGCUUGGGUGCUGAAAGCUUGCUUAUGGUUAUCUAAGUUAACGGUCAAUAGGUUAGAACGCGAUUACNUUCGUUAAGGAUGUUGACGUA
rnacentral:rRNA from 1 species